UGAACAGAACUCCAAACAGAGGAGUAGCAAAAUGGGAGGAAGGUGCUGUGACUAAAUGAAGGAAGGCUGAGGGGUUAAAAUCAUUGCUGGGUGAUUUCACCACUACUGCCCCAUAUUCAUACUCUCGGUAAAUGAAUGAGGAGAGCCCCAUGUGGGAUUACAAACUUGCUGGAAAUGGAUGAGAAACCUUCUGCUCUGCUGGAGUUUGAUUUAGACUUGAACGGGAACAUCCACUCAUCCUGUGUUUUUAGCCUCCAGGUCUCCAGGCUGGAACUUAUACCAUUGAUUCUUCUGAAUCUUAGAGCUUUGGACUUGGACUGGAACUAAAUCAUCAGCUCUUCUUGUUCUACCACUUGCAGACUGCAGAUCUUGAGACACACCAGCCUCUAUAAUCACCUGCAGUCAUGUCAUUGAUACAACUUCUGAUCCACACCUCAUGCUCCUUCUUUUCAAAGAAGCCACCCAGUUGUUACCUACUUCAGGUUGAAAGUCACAUUUGAUGGCAAGAUGAUCCUGUACCCAACUAGGAGAGCUUCUGCAGCUCUCAUGAGUUGAUCCUGUUCCCCUCAACUGAACA